GCCAUCGCGCCGACUUCAGGCAGUCGCCAGUCGUCUGCCGUGGUGUGCCGUUGGUCGUGUGUCGUGUGUGGAGGAUUUCGACGAGGUUGAAAGUCCUGGUGGGAGCACGCGAGAGAACCGCGCGCGAGAAUCGCGAACACACCCUCGUAGGCGCCCCUCGCGCGUAGGACCCGAGGAGGGUGGUGAAGGAACCCCCGAAUCCCCGCGAUCGUUUCGCGCCGCGAAUCGCCAGCUGCGUCUCGCGGAGGUUGCAUCCAGAGGAUCUGACAGCGAGGGACGGACAGGCGCAGCCGAAGAUGUGCGGCGGCUUUACGUGCUCGAAAAAUGCGCUGACAGCCCUCAACAUCCUCUACAUCGUCGUUGCCUUUAUAUUAAUAGGAGUUGCUGUAUAUGGAAGGGCAUCCGCCUUAGUUACAAAUCUUCCCAUUAUAGGUGGCAUUUUAGCAUGCGGAGUAAUCCUGUUUCUAAUUUCUAUAUUGGGCCUGAUUGGUGCUGUUAAACAUCAUCAGGUUCUGUUGUUCUUUUACAUGCUUAUUUUAUUCCUUCUGUUCCUGAUUCAAUUCAGCAUCGCCUGCGCUUGUCUUGCUGUCAAUACUAAACAGCAAGAACAACUUGCAGAACAGGGUUGGAGACGUGUUGGACCUGACUUACGGGAAAAAGUUCAGACAACUUUUAAUUGUUGUGGAUUUAAUAACACUACCGAUGAAUCCGCUCUAUCCUGCAAUGAUGUUAAUAAGGUUUGUUGCCAGUCAAUCGAUCAAAUGUCUUGUCCACCUUGUCCAACAUGUAUGCAUAAACUGCAAUCUACUAUUGAUUACGCGUUUAAAUUAUGCGGCAGUAUAGGAUUAUUCUUUAGUUUUACAGAGUUUGUUGGUGUGUGGUUGACCGUGAGAUACCGGAACCAGAAAGAUCCACGAGCUAAUCCUAGUGCUUUUCUCUAGUCUAACACCAUCGCCAUGUCCUCUGUCACUUCAUACGAUCCUCCUAACAGAUGGUGAUUGCAGCUUUCUUGGCAAGGCGUUAUCGUAAUCAAUUAGAUCCAGAGGAAAAAGCUGCAAGAGCCAUUUUUCCGCAGAAUAAUUAUUUAUAUUGAGUCACCGAAAUAUUUGAAAAACAAAUGAAUAAUUUUUCCUUUUAUUCAUGUUAUACGUAUUUCAUGAUACUCUUAUCAAUAUGAAGAGGACAGAUAUCUGAAAUUAAUUUUACUUUUGAUUGCUCGGAUAUGUAUCAUAUUUUUUAAGGGCUAUGAUUUAAAGCGUAUUUCUUUUAAUGCUGAAAGAUUACUCAUUUGUGCUCACAGCAAAGGCAAGAGUUAAUACAUUUUCCAACUGGGCAAUCAUAGAUUUUAGAAUGAGUUAGACAAAUAAUUGAAAUGUGUGCUCUAGUCAUAUACUUAGAACACUCAUAACAAGCCUCAAUGCGCCUUGUAGUCUAGUGACAGAAAAGAUCACGUAAGUAUUUCUAUUAAA